AGCGAACGCUGGCGGCGUGCUUAACACAUGCAAGUCGAACGUGAAAGGGGGCAACCCUGAGUAAAGUGGCGUACGGGUGAGUAAUGCGUAGACAAUCUACCUGACAGUUUGGAAUAACCUGCCGAAAGGCGGGCUAAUACUGGAUAGAGCGACGGAACCUGUAAGGGGUUUUUCGGGAAAGGGAGGGAGCAAUCCCCCUCGCUGUCAGAUGAGUUUACGUCCCAUCAGCUAGUUGGCGGGUAACGGCCCACCAAGGCAAUGACGGGUAGCUGGUCUGAGAGGAUGAUCAGCCACACUGGAACUGAAACACGGUCCAGACUCCUACGGGAGGCAG
rnacentral:rRNA from 1 species